GGGCGGAUGGUGAAAUUGGCAGACACGAUAGCCUUAGGAGCUAUUGGGGCAACCCUUGGAGGUUCAAAUCCUCUUCCGCCCACCA
rnacentral:tRNA from 1 species